CUCUGAGGUGAUAGCAGCGCAAUGCUCGGGAAGGGCUGCCACCAGCUUCUUCGGCCUUCUUAUUCAUGGGACUCGGUGGCUUUCAAUCACUAUGGCCUCCAGAGUAUUCCAGUUACUUUUCAGGAUAUUCGUACUAGACAAAUAUGAUUGAAGAACUUGAAAUGGGGACCAGUAUUUAAAAAGAAAUUGCAAGUCGUCCUGACUUUUGUCUUGCCAUUGGACUCCAUAACU